CGCCACCAGAGCUUCGUGGCUUUAUGGGGGAGGCGAGGAGCCACUGUGGACCUGCUCGGGACAGUGAAGGGCGCCAGUCUCAGCCCUCAUCUGAAACCUGCUCUGUGACCCUAGACUAGUUCCUGCUCCUCUCUGGGCCAAAUCCUGGCCCUGCUCCUUUCUGGCUGAGUAACUUUGGGCAACUGUGCCCUGAAACCCUCUGCCCUGCUGAAGAAUGGAGAGGACUCCCCCACCAGCACCUCCACCUAGGACACAUGGGAACUGUGGGACUUGGAGCAAAGUUUUCAAGUCUCUGUGCCUUAGUUUCCUCACCUGUGCUGUUCUAGGCGCUGAGGAUGCAGCCGUGCACAAGACAGAUGAAAUCCCUGCCCUCGGGGGCCGACAUUUGUGGAGUAAAUAAAGGAAAG
rnacentral:antisense_RNA from 1 species